UUGUAAAUAUCCUAGAAUUAUCUGGAGUAUGACAUCCGUUUCCAUGUGGGACCCUUACUGAUACUCAGCAUGCUACCACUAGCUGUAUCUUACUUUAUUACAUCAAAGUGAGACUUCAUACAAAAGUAACAUUUUUGGUACAGUAGCAAUAUAUGUCAUUCUGUUAAAUGUAACCAUAAGUGCAAGUAUUAGUUGCUUAGUUGUGUCUGACUCUGUGACCACAUGGACUGUAGCCCACCAGGCUCCUCUGUCCAUGGAAUUCUCCAGGCAAGAAUACUGGAGUGGGUUGCCUUUCCCUUCUCCAGGAGAUCUUGCGACCCAGGGGUCAAACCCGGGUCUCCUGCAUUGCAGGCAGAUUCUUUACCAUUUGAGCCACUAGGGAAGCCCUGGUUACCAUAAAUGGAGAGAACAUAUGAAAUGUUGAGCAUAUUCAGAACUCUGAUUUCUAAACUGAACCUUAAGGAUUUUUCAAUUAACUAUUUUUCAAAAAAUUGGCAAACCAAAUGUGGUGAAACGCCACUGAACCAACCAGUUGGGUAUAAUGCUCCAAGAAGGAGUGAAUCAUUCAUGAGUAGAAUGAAUGAUGAAUAGGAAUGAGGGAGUAGGAGGGCUGAGCUAAGAAAAAGAGGAAAUGGAAGAAAAAGGAAGCACCCAGAAAAUGAGUAAAACAAUGAAAGCCAAGUUAAAUAGUGUGAGAACCUCAGGAAAGGCCCACAGACCUUUAAGAAACAAGAUGUCUAAGAUGCUUGAUAAGUUCUCCUGUUACCACAAACUUUCCUUCAACUCUGCUUUACGACCUGGGUGGGUAGCAUUGAAGGUAGUAAAGGAAUUAGGAGAAUGUCCAAAAAGGUUGAUGACAAAGGGGAGAGGUGGGUUUCACACAAAGGAGUUUAAAUGUAGUGAGGAGAAAGUCCUCUAAGUGCUUCAGAGACGCUGGGAGGCACAGGCACUUAGGUUUCCCACAUACACAGGGAAGCAGUUCAGUCCAGCUUCACUCACAUCUUAAAGGUCAGAUUAGCAUGAGUAAGCUGGAAGACUGAGAGUCUAAAGUAAAAAAAUGCCUGCAGUCUAAGUGGUAAUAGAGAUGAGAGAAAUAAAAACUUUUAACAAUUGGCCCAAAGGAGUGACAGUGAUCCUAAUAGAAAAACUGAAUUAUGUGA
ensembl:lncRNA